CCAAGGUUUAGGUUCUAGGGGGCGCCAAAGAUAACACUAAAAUCCACAUAUUUAAAAGUCUUAUAACUUUUUAUUUUUGUCCUCACUGGCCUCCAAGUUUUCUAGGAUGAUGCAAUGUCCAGCCAUCAACACAUUUGUGAAGGAAUUUUUACUCCCCAAAAGAGCGCCCCCCCAUGGCAGGAGAAAAAAAGUCCAUUUUUUCUUGUCCCCUAAGGUGAAAAUACACAUUGUUGAGUGUCACGCCUAUACGCUUUGUCAAAAUGACACAAAAAUUGACACACACAUGUAACUCAAUAAGAUCUACGAAAAAGUCAAUGCGCGCGUAUCUGUCAAAUGUACGGUUAAAGGGUUAUUCCGCAUUUUUUGCCAAUCCGCACACAUUGGAAUUUCGCUAACUCCUCCGAAGGCUUUCUGUCCACCGGCACCACAUUUGCUCAGGCCAAUCUACACCCCAUGGCCAUUAAAAGUUAUUCAAAUCAUGACGCUGCACCCCACGGUUUAGGUUCUAGGGGGCGCCAAAGACAACCCUAAAAUCCACAUAUUUAAAAGUCUUAUAACUUUUUAUUUUUGUCCUCACUGGCCUCCAUGUUUUCUAGGAUGAUGCAAUGUCCAGCCAUCAACACAUUUGUGAAGGAGUUUUUUCUCGUUAAAAGAGCGCCCCCCGUGGCAGGAGAAUAAAGUCAAGUUUUUCCUGUUCAUCAUUCAAUGGCUCAAACGCACUGCUCUCUCGGCAAAAGCGAAAGGAGGAGCAACUUGCCAUUUGGAUAUAUCUUAGCUGUCUUUGUGCCCUCACUCAUGGUCCAGACUUUUUUCAAAUAGGACAUGGAGUUUUUCUGCAGCGAGCGUUUUGGUAGAAACUGCGCCUCCCGUUCAUUAUAAUGGUAAAUGACCACAAACAAGUGCGCACACCAUCUUUGGACCUUGAGUGUGACGCGAUCGGGUGGGGGAGGCGGUCGCGCUUGGGGCGGCGUGACACGGCUCGGGCCCGCCAGUGCCCCAACGGGGCCCUAGUUUCUUUUUCCUCCCCUUUGAACUGGAAAAUGGCCCACUUCCCACUGGCGAAAACUCAUGAAAUUUGGCAGGACGACCGGGCCUGGUGAAAAAUUUGAUAUUCCGAAGUCGCCCAAACAAUAAAAUGCAAAAUGGCUCCAUAGCGCCCCCUAAGGUGAAAAUUCACACUAUUGACUGUCACGCCUGUACGCUUUGGCAAAAUGACACAAAAAUUGACACACACAUGUAUCUCAAUAAGAUCUACAAAAAAGUCAGUGCGGGCGUAUCUGUCAAAUGUACGGUUAAAGGGCUAUUUCGCAUUUUUUGCCGAUCCGCACACAUUGGAAUUUCGCUAACUCCUCCGAAGGCUUUCGUUCCACCGGCACCACAUUUGCUCAGGCCAAUCUACACCCCAUGGCCAUUAAAAGUUAUUCAAAUCAUGACGCUGCACCCCACGGUUUAGGUUCUAGGGGGCGCCAAAGAUAACCCUAAAAUCCACAUAUUUAAAAGUCUUAUAACUUUUUAUUUUUGCCCUCACUGGCCUCCAAGUUUUCUAGGAUGAUGCAAUGUCCAGCCAUCAACACAUUUGUGAAGGAAUUUUUACUCCCCAAAAGAGCGCCCCCCCCAUGGCAGGAGAAAAAAGUCCAUUUUUUCUUGUCCCCUAAGGUGAAAAUACACAUUGUUGAGUGUCACGCCUGUACGCUUUGUCAAAAUGACACAAAAAUUGACACACACAUGUAACUCAAUAAGAUCUACAAAAAAGUCCAUGCGCGCGUAUCUGUCAAAUGUACGGUUAAAGGGUUAUUCCGCAUUUUUUGCCGAUUCGCACACAUUGGAAUUUCGCUAACUCCUCCGAAGGCUUUCGUUCCACCGGCACCACAUUUGCUCAGGCCAAUCUACACCCCAUGGCCAUUAAAAGUUAUUCAAAUCAUGACGCUGCACCCCACGGUUUAGGUUCUAGGGGGCGCCAAAGAUAACCCAAAAAUCCACAGUCUUAAAAGUCUUAUAACUUUUUAUUUUUGUCCUCACUGGCCUCCAAGUUUUCUAGGAUGAUGCAAUGUCCAGCCAUCAACACAUUUGUGAAGGAAUUUUUACUCCCUAAAAGAGCGCCCCCCAUGGCAGGAGAAAAAAGUCCAUUUUUUCUUGUCCCCUAAGAUGAAAAUACACAUUGUUGACUGUCACGCCUGUACGCUUUGGCAAAAUGACACAAAAAUUGACAAUCAUGUGUAUCUCAAUUAGAUCUACGAAAAAGUCAAAGAGCGCGUAUCUGUAUAAUGUACGGUAAAAGGGCUAUUUUGCAUUUUUUGCCGAUUCGCACACAUUGGAAUUUCGCUAACUCCUCCUAAGGCUUUCGUCCCACUGACACCAAAUUUGCUCAGGCCAAUCUACACUCCAUGGCCAUUCAAAGUUGUAAAAAUCAUGACGCUGCACCCCACGGUUUACGUUUUAGGGGGCGCCAAAGAUGACCCAAAUAUACAUUACAGUAGACAAAGUAGUUUUGCCCACUGAGUGGCGCCAAAGGGACUUGUCUGUGGAGUCUGUGAGUCACUAUUGGCCGUUUUUGACUACUUUAGAUUUUACCUUUAUAUUUCCUCUUACAAAAUUUUUACCUUGCCUUGCCUGGUAUCAUUUUUUUCAGCACAACCUCACCUGUGUCAAUUUACAGUUAUUUUAUCAUUUUGACAUACUAUAUUUACACAUUGGACCCAAAUUCACACACAAAACAUAAAAUCCGAGUGGAAAAAAGUAACGUUUUUACUGUGAAAACCACAAAUAUGUGUGAUGAACUGUUUUUAAAACUUAAACUUCAAAUUAAAAUUGUAAACUUCAAAACAUAUGCAAAUUUUUAACAAAGAACAUAGUAAUUUACCUCUAUUUACAUCAAAAUGCAGGCAAUGGCCCAGGCGUUCUUUGUAAAAUUAUUUACAAAACACUGUAUAGUCUCACAAAUGUCACUUUUUAUUUAUGCCACUACAAAAAAACAUGAUGUAAAUGAUGCAUGAUGUAAAACAUGAUGUAAAAAACUUGUGUAGAUCCUCCUCUAUGUCAGUCCAUGUGUAAUUUUUCCAUAAUUCUUUGUUUUUUGCAGCAAUUUUGUUAGUGUAACUGCAGAUUGUGCUGACAGUGUCUAUGGCACAAAAAAAAAAAAAAUUAAAAUGCCUCAACAUGAACCCCUGGUGGUCUCUGAGGGUGAAACCUGCUAACUGCUGCAGCUCUGUCAGCUUCAGUCUCCCAUGCAGAGCUCUGAGCGCAUGUGUGGCUCUGCACCCUUAGCAGCGUUGCUAACUCCUCAGUAAGGAAAGCCUGCUUCAUGUCAGAGUCUCUAAACUCCAGAAGAAGUCGAUAAAAGUCCCUUUCUUUCUAAAAAAAAGUCGUUAGGGGGUCUGAAAAGUCAUUGAAUCUAACAACAAAGUCGCUAGGUUUGCAACUACGUGUCCCAGACUGCAUCCCUGCUGAGAGUCCCUCCCUCCCUUCUCAUGUUGCAGGAAGAACGUAAGCGCCCGCCCCUUGUCAAUCAGUCACCAUAUAAUUUUGGAUUGGUUGUUGUGGUGAAGUUUUCCACCAAUAGGAGAGAUGUUGUGGUGUGUUUUUUUUUUCUUUUGGCAAGCCUUUUCCGCCUGUAAGACCUGUCGCUAAUGUCUGCAUGCUAUGUUUUCCUGUCUCAUACAGCGCGAUCGAGCGCCGAACGUGAUCAAAAUAAGCAGAAAAAAAGUAUCGCGGACAUAAUUUAUCAUAACUCUGGUUUUAUUUGGCCUAUCAACACAAUUUAAAAACUGGUAUAUAGGUUGAGGUCCUCACUUUUGAGAUAACUUGAAACGGAGAGUCAACGAGGCUCCGUCUUGCAGCUACAUCCGGGUAAAUAUGUCAUGUGACUUGAACGCACACAUAGACACACACACGCACACACACACACACACACACACACACACACACACACACACACACACACACACACACACACACACACACACACACAGAGUCUGGUUUUUAGCACCUGCAAAAACAUGCUAUUUACAUUUUUGACAAGAAUGCAGAGGCUCCUUUUGCCCCUGAAAAAAAUCAAAUUUCAAACACAACUUGACUGGUCAUUUCUCCAAAAGACAACCAUGAAGCUCCAUCCAAACCUGAAGCAGGCAGUUGGUGCAUGUGUACAGUAACCUGAGGGGAGUGAGGGGAGUGCUUCUGAGGAGAACAUGAGCAGUGAAGAUUCACCUUGGAGCUAGAACAGAGACAUGCACAUGAUUAUACAGGGGCAGGGGCUCAAGUUUUUUCCAGUCGUUUAUACAAUAUGGAAAUUAAUGUGAAAUUAAAACACAAAGUAUUAAUAGAAAGGUAAUGACUGUCCUGUGUAGGUGACAGUGAUAUCCAAUAGGCUAGGCACUCACGAGGCUGGCUGUGGCAAGUGUAAGUGAAAGCAACACGCACUGGCAGGAAGAACAGCAAACGCCGAUGAAGGAAAAGGGUCUUUGCAGUGAUGGGCGUUACCAGAGAGGGCAAUGGCCAGAGGACACAAAUGGGACGGGGAGGCAGCACGUUGGGGGGGGGACGCAACACGGCUCGGGCCCGCCAGUGCCCCAACGGGGUCCUAGUUCUUUCUUUCUUUCUUUCUUUCUUCUUUUUCCUCCCCUUUGAACUGGAAAAUGGCCCACUUCCCACUGGCGAAAACUCAUGAAAUUUGGCAGGACGACCGGGCCUGGUGAAAAAUUCGAUAUUCUGAAGUCGCCCAAACAAUAAAAUGCAAAAUGGCUCCAUAGCGCCCCCUAAGGUGAAAAUUCACACUAUUGACUGUCACGCCUGUACGCUUUGUCAUAUUGACACAAAAAUUGACACACAUAUGUAUCUCAAUAAGAUCUACAAAAAAGUCAGUGCGGCCAUAUCUGUCAAAAUUACGGUUAAAGGGUUAUUUCGCAUUUUUUGCCGAUCCGCACACAUUGGAAUUUCGCUAACUCCUCCGAAGGCUUUCGUUCCACCGGCACCACAUUUGCUCAGGCCAAUCUACACCCCGUGGCCAUUAAAAGUUAUCAAAAUCAUGACGCUGCACCCCAAGGUUUAGGUUCUAGGGGGCGCCAAAGAUAACACUAAAAUCCACAUAUUUAAAAGUCUUAUAACUUUUUAUUUUUGUCCUCACUGGCCUCCAAGUUUUCUAGGAUGAUGCAAUGUCCAGCCAUCAACACAUUUGUGAAGGAAUUUUUACUCGCCAAAAGAGCGCCCCCCCAUGGCAGGAGAAAAAAGUCCAUUUUUUCUUGUCCCCUAAGGUGAAAAUACACAUUGUUGAGUGUCACGCCUAUACGCUUUGUCAAAAUGACACAAAAAUUGACACACACAUGUAACUCAAUAAGAUCUACAAAAAAGUCCAUGCGCGCGUAUCUGUCAAAUGUACGGUUAAAGGGUUAUUCCGCAUUUUUUGCCGAUACGCACACAUUGGAAUUUCGCUAACUCCUCCGAAGGCUUUCGUUCCACCGGCACCACAUUUGCUCAGGCCAAUCUACACCGCAUGGCCAUUAAAAGUUAUUCAAAUCAUGAUGCUGCACCCCAUGGUUUAGGUUCUAGGGGCGCCAAAAAUAACCCAAAAAUCCACAUUCUUAAAUGUUUUAUAACUUUUUAUUUUUGUCCUCACUGGCCUCCAAGUUUUCUAGGAUGAUGCAAUGUCCAGCCAUCAACACAUUUGUGAAGGAAUUUUUACUCCCCAAAAGAGCGCCACCCCAUGGUAGGAGAAAAAAGUCAAUUUUUUCUUGUCCCCUUACAUAAAAAUACACAUUGUUGAGUGUCACGCCUGAACGCUUUGUCAUAUUGACACAAAAAUUGACAAUCAUGUGUAUCUCAAUUAGAUCUACGAAAAAGUCAAAGAGCGCGUAUCUGUAUAAUGUACGGUUAAAGGGCUAUUUUGCAUUUUUUGCCGAUUCGCACACAUUGGAAUGUGGCUAUCUCCUCCUAAGGCUUUCGUCCCACCGAUACCAAAUUUGCUCAGGGCAAUCUACACCCCAUGCCCAUUCAAAGUUGUAAAAAUCAUGACGCUGCACCCCACGGUUUACGUUCUAGGGGGCGCCAAAGAUGACCCAAAAAUCCACAUUCUUAAAAGUCAUUUUGGCCACUGCAGGAGUACAGAGUACUGCAGUUCUAGGGGGCGCCAAAGAUGACCCAAAAAUCCACAUUCUUAAAAGUCUUUUUGGCCACUGCAGGAGUACAGAGUACUGCAGGAUACACACACAUAUACACACACGCCAACAUACACACACACACACACACACACACACACACUCAGAGUCUGGUUUUUAGCACCUGCAAAAACAUGCUGUUUACAUAUUUGACAAGAAUGCAGAGGCUUCCUUUUGCCCCUGAAAAAAAUCAAAUUUCAAACACAACUUGACUGUUCAUUUCUCCAAAAGACAACCAUGAAGCUCCAUUUCAAACCUGAAGCAGAUAGUUGGUGCAUGUGUACAGUAACCUGAGGGGAGUGAGGUGACUAUUUCUGAGGAGAACAUGAGCAGUGAAGAUUCACCUUGGAGCUAGAACAGGGACGUGCACAUGAUUAUACAGGGGCAGGGGCUCAAGUUUUUUCCAGUCAUUUAUACAAUAUGGAAAUUAAUGUGAAAUUAAACCACAAAUAUGUGUGAUGAACUGUUUUUAAAACUUAAACUUCAAAUAAAAAUUGUAAACUUCAAAACAUAUGCAAAUUUUUAACAAAGAACAUAGUAAUUUACCUCUAUUUACAUCAAAAUGCAGGCAAUGGCCCAGGCGUUCUUUGUAAAAUUAUUUACAAAACACUGUAUAGUCUCAAAAAUGUCACUUUUUAUUUAUGCCACUACAAAAAAACAUGAUGUAAAUGAUGCAUGAUGUAAAACAUGAUGUAAAAAACUUGUGUAGAUCCUCCUCUAUGUCAGUCCAUGUGUAAUUUUUCCAUAAUUCUUUGUUUUUUGCAGCAUUUUUGUUAGUGUAACUGCAGAUUGUGCUGACAGUGUCUAUGGCACAAAAAAAAAAAAAAUUAAAAUGCCUCAACAUGAACCCCUGGUGGUCUCUGAGGGUGAAACCUGCUAACUGCUGCAGCUCUGUCAGCUUCAGUCUCCCAUGCAGAGCUCUGAGCGCAUGUGUGGCUCUGCACCCUUAGCAGCGUUGCUAACUCCUCAGUAAGGAAAGCCUGCUUCAUGUCAGAGUCUCUAAACUCCAGAAGAAGUCGAUAAAAGUCCCUUUCUUUCUAAAAAAAGUCGUUAGGGUGUCUGAAAAGUCAUUGAAUCUAACAACAAAGUCGCUAGGUUUGCAACUACGUGUCCCAGACUGCAUCCCUGCUGAGAGUCCCUCCCUCGCUUCUCAUGUUGCAAGAAGAACGUAAGCGCCCGCCCCUUGUCAAUCAGUCACCAUAUAAUUUUGGAUUGGUUGUUGUGGUGAAGUUUUCCACCAAUAGGAGAGAUGUUGUGGUGUGUUUUUUUUUUCUUUUGGCAAGCCUUUUCCGCCUGUAAGACCUGUCGCUAAUGUCUGCAUGCUAUGUUUUCCUGUCUCAUACAGCGCGAUCGAGCGCCGAACGUGAUCAAAAUAAGCAGAAAAAAAGUAUCGCGGACAUAAUUUAUCAUAACUCUGGUUUUAUUUGGCCUAUCAACACAAUUUAAAAACUGGUAUAUAGGUUGAGGUCCUCACUUUUGAGAUAAGUUGAAACGGAGAGUCAACGAGGCUCCGUCUUGCAGCUACAUCCGGUUAAAUAUGUCAUGUGACUUGAACGCACACAUAGACACACACACACGCACACACACACACACACACACACACACACACACACACACACUCAGAGUCUGGUUUUUAGCACCUGCAAAAACAUGCUAUUUACAUAUUUGACAAGAAUGCAGAGGCUCCUUUUGCCCCUGAAAAAAAUCAAAUUUCAAACACAACUUGACUGGUCAUUUCUCCAAAAGACAACCAUGAAGCUCCAUCCAAACCUGAAGCAGGCAGUUGGUGCAUGUGUACAGUAACCUGAGGGGAGUGAGGUGAGUGCUUCUGAGGAGAACAUGAGCAGUGAAGAUUCACCUUGGAGCUAGAACAGAGACAUGCACAUGAUUAUACAGGGGCAGGGGCUCAAGUUUUUUCCAGUCGUUUAUACAAUAUGGAAAUUAAUGUGAAAUUAAAACACAAAGUAUUAAUAGAAAGGUAAUGACUGUCCUGUGUAGGUGACAGUGAUAUCCAAUAGGCUAGGCACUUACGAGGCUGGCUGUGGCAAGUGUAAGUGAAAGCAACACGCACUGGCAGGAAGAACAGCAAACGCCGAUGAAGGAAAAGGGUCUUUGCAGUGAUGGGCGUUAACAGAGAGGGCGAUGGCCAGAGGACACAAAUGGGACGGGGAGGCAGCACGUUGGGGGGGGGGGGGGGGACGCGACACGGCUCGGGCCCGCCAGUGCCCCAACGGGGUCCUAGUUAGGGCCCGAGCCAGCUGCAGAGCAGCCGGGCGUAGAGCCCUAUUAUUCCUGUAUAGGUUUUUAGGGCCCGAGCGUAGCUGCUAAGCAGCUGCGAGAGCCCUCUUGUUCCUGCAUGUUUCCUUCUUUCGUUAUUAUUUUUCCUCCGCUUUAAACUGGAAAAUGGCCCACUUCCCACUGGCGAAAACUCAGGAAAUUUGGCAGGACGACCGGGCCUGGUGAAAAAUUCGAUAUUCUGAAGUCGCCCAAACAAUAAAAUGCAAAAUGGCUCCAUAGCGCCCCCUAAGGUGAAAAUUCACAUGACGGCUGUACGCUUUGUCAUAUUGACACAAAAAUUGACACACACAUGUAUCUCAAUAAGAUCUACAAAAAAGUCAGUGCGGGCGUAUCUGUCAAAUGUACGGUUAAUGGGUUAUUUUGCAUUUUUUGCAGAUCUGCACACAUUGGAAUUUCGCUAACUCCUCUGAAGGCUUUCGUUCGACCGGCACCACAUUUGCGCAGGCCAAUCUACCCCCCAUGGCCAUUAAAAGUUGUACAAAUCAUGACGCUGCACCCCACGGUUUACGUUCUAGGGGGCGCCAAAGAUAACCCAAAAUCCACAUUCUUAAAAGUCUUAUAACUUUUUAUUUUUGUCCUCACUGGCCUCCAAGUUUUCUAGGAUGAUGCAAUGUCCAGCCAUCAACACAUUUGUGAAGGAAUUUUUACUCCCCAAAAGAGCGCCCCCCCAUGGCAGGAGAAAAAAGUCCAUUUUUUCUUGUCCCCUAAGGUGAAAAAACACAUUGUUGACUGUCACGCCUUUACGCUUUGUCAUAUUGACACAAAAAUUGACACACACGUGUAUCUCAAUACGGUCUACGAAAAAGUCAGUGCGGGCGCAUCUGUGAAAUGUACGGUUAGAGGGUUAUUUCACAUUUUUUGCAGAUCUGCACACAUUGGAAUUUCGCUAACUCCUCCGAAGGCAUUCAUUCCACCGGCACCACAUUUGCUCAGGCCAAUCUACACCCCAUGGCCAUUAAAAGUUGUACAAAUCAUGACGCUGCACCCCACGGUUUACGUUCUAGGGGGCGCCAAAGAUAACCCUAAAAUCCACAGUCUUAAAAGUCUUAUAACUUUUUAUUUCUGUCCUCACUGGCCUCCAAGUUUUCUAGGAUGAUGCAAUGUCCAGCCAUCAACACAUUUGUGAAGGAAUUUUUACUCCCCAAAAGAGCGCCCCCACAUGGCAGGAGAAAAAAGGCCAUUUUUUCUUGUCCUAUAAGGUGAAAAUACACAUUGUUGAGUGUCACGCCUGUACGCUUUGUCAUAUUGAAACAAAAUUUGAUAAUCACGUGUAUCUCAAUAAGAUCUACGAAAAAGUCAAUGCGCACGUGUCUGCAAAAUGUACGGUUAAAGGGCUAUUUCGCAUUUUUGGUUGAUUCGCACACAUUGGAAUGUGGCUAACUCCUCCUAAAGCUUUCGUUCCACCGGCACCAAAUUUGCUCAGGCCAAUCUACACCCCAUGGCCAUUAAAAGUUGUACAAAUCAUGACGCUGCACCCCACGGUUUACGUUCUAGGGGGCGCCAAAGAGGACCCAAAUAUCCACAUUUUUAAAAGUCUUAUAACUUUUUAUUUUUGUCCUCACUGGCCUCCAAGUUUUCUAGAAUGAUGCAAUGUCCAGCCAUCAACACAUUUGUGAAGGAAUUUUUUCUCCCCAAAAGAGCGCCCCCCCAUGGCAGGAGAAAAAGUCAAGUUUUUCCUGCCCAUCGCUCAAUGGCUCAAACGCAUCGCUCUCUCGGCAAAACCGAAAGGAGGAGCAACUUGCCAUUUGGAUAUAUACUAGUUGUGUUUAUGCCCUCACUCAUGGUCCAGACUUUUUUCAAAAAGGACAUGGAGUUUGUCUGCAGCGAGCAUUUUGGUAGAAACUGCGCCUCCCAUUCAUUAUAAUGGUAAAUGACCACAGACAAGUGCGCACACCAUCUUUGGACCUUGAGUGUGACGCGAUCGGGAGGGGUAGGCGGUCGCGCUGGGGGCGGCGCAACACGGCUCGGGCCCGCCAGUGCCCCAAUGGGGCCCUAGUUAGGGCCCGAGCGUAGCUGCUAAGCAGCUGCGAGAGCCCUCUUGUUCCUGAUGGAUUCUUCUUUCGUUAUUUUUCCUCCGCUUUAAACUGGAAAAUGGCCCACUUCCCACUGGCGAAAACUCAGGAAAUUUGGCAGGACGACCGGGCCUGGUGAAAAAUUUGAUAUUCUGAAGUCGCCCAAACAAAAAAAUGAAAAAUGGCUCCAUAGCGCCCCCUAUGGUGAAAACUCACCUGACGCCUGUACGCUUUGUCAAAAUGACACAAAAUUUGACACACAUGUGUAUCUCAAUAAGAUCUACAAAAAAGUCAGUGCGGGCGUAUCUGUCAAAUGUACGGUUAAAGGGCUAUUUCGCAUUUUUUGCCGAUCCGCACACAUUGGAAUUUCGCUAACUCCUCCGAAGGCUUUCGUUCCACCGGCACCAAAUUUGCUCAGGCCAAUCUACACCCCAUGGCCAUUAAAAGUUGUACAAAUCAUGACGCUGCACCCCACGGUUUAUGUUCUAGGGGGCGCCAAAAAUAACCCAAAAAUCCACAUUCUUAAAAGUCUUAUAACUUUUUAUUUUUGUCCUCACUGGCCUCCAAGUUUUCUAGGAUGAUGCUAUGUCCAGCCAUCAACACAUUUGUGAAGGAAUUUUUACUCCCCAAAAGAGCGCCCCCACAUGGCAGGAGAAAAAAGUCCAUUUUUUCUUGUCCCCUAAGGUGAAAAUACACAUUGUUGAGUGUCACACCUAUACGCUUUGUCAUAUUGACCCAAAAUUUGACAAUCACGUGUAUCUCAAUAAGAUCUACGAAAAAGUCAAUGGGCACGUAUCUGUAAAAUGUACGGUUAAAGGGUUAUUUCGCAUUUUUUCCCGAUCCGCACACAUUGGAAUUUCGCUAACUCCUCCGAAGGCUUUAGUUCCACCGCCACCAAAUUUGCUCAGGCCAAUCUACACCCCAUGGCCAUUAAAAGUUGUACAAAUCAUGACGCUGCACUCCACGGUUUAGGUUCUAGGGGGCGCCAAAGAUAACCCAAAAAUCCACAUUCUUAAUAGUCUUAUAACUUUUUAUUUUUGUCCUCACUGGCCUCCAAGUUUUCUAGGAUGAUGCAAUGUCCAGCCAUCAACACAUUUGUGAAGGAAUUUUUACUCCCGAAAAGAGCGCCCCCCAUGGCAGGAGAAAAAAGUCCAUUUUUUCUUGUCCCCUAAGGUGAAAAAACACAUUGUUGACUGUCACGCCUAUACGCUUUGUCAAAAUGACACAAAAUUUGACACACACGUGUAUCUCAAUAAGAUCUACGAAAAAGUCAAUGGGCACGUAUCUGUAAAACGUACGGUUAAAGGGCUAUUUCGCAUUUUUUGCCGAUUCGCACACAUUGGAAUGUGGCUAACUCCUCCUAAGGCUUUCUUCCCACCAACACCAAAUUUGCUCAAGCCGAUCUACAUCACAUGGCCAUUCAAAGUUGUAAAAAUCAUGCCGCUGCACCCCAUGGUUUACGUUCUAGGGGGCGCCAAAGAUGACCCAAAUAUCCACAUUCUUAAAAGAAUCCACCCCCCCCCCCCCCCCAAGGCAGGAGAAAAAGUCCAGUUAACCCUGCCCAUCGCUCAAUGGCUCAAUCGCAUCGCUCUCCUGGCAACACCGUAAGGAGGAGCAACUUGCCAUUUGGAUAUAUCCUAGCUGUGUUUGUGCCCUCACUCAUGGUCCAGACUUUUUUCAAAUAGGACAUGUAGUUUGUCUGCAGCGACCGUUUUGGUAGAAACUGCACCUCCCAUUCAUUAUAAUGGGAAAUGACCACAGACAAGUGCGCACACCAUCUUUGGACCUUGAGUGUGAUGCGAUCGUGAGGGGGAGGCGGUCGCGCUGGGGGCGGCGCGACGCGGCUCGGGCCCGACAGUGCCCCACCGGGGCCCUAGUUAUUAUUUUUCUGCCCCUUUGAACUGGAAAAUGGCCCACUUCCCACUGGUGAAAAGUCAUGAAAUUUGGCAGGACGACCGGGCCUGGUGAAAAAUUCGAUAUUCUGAAGUCGCCCAAAAAAUCAAAUGCAAAAUGGCUCCAUAGCGCCCCCUAAGGUGAAAAAUUCACAUGAUUGAGUGUCACGCCUGUACGCUUUGUCAAAAUGACACAAAAUUUGACACACACGUGUAUCUCAAUAAGAUCUACAAAAAAGUCAGUGCGGGCGUAUCUGUCAAAUGUACGGUUAAAGGGCUAUUUCGCAUUUUUUGCCGAUCCGCACACAUUGGAAUUUCGCUAACUCCUCCGAAGGCUUUCGUUCCACCGGCACCAAAUUUGCUCAGGCCAAUCUACACCCCAUGGCCAUUAAAAGUUGUACAAAUCAUGACGCUGCAUCCCACGGUUUACGUUCUAGGGGGCGCCAAAGAUAACCCAGAAAUCCACAUUCUUAAAAGUCGUAUAACUUUUUAUUUUUGUCCUCACUGGCCUCCAAGUUUUCUAGGAUGAUGCAAUGUCCAGCCAUCAACACAUUUGUGAAGGAAUUUUUACUCCCCAAAAGAGCGCCCCCCAUGGCAGGAGAAAAAAGUCCAUUUUUUCUUGUCUCCUAAGGCGAAAAUUCACACUAUUGACUGUCACGCCUUUACGCUUUGUCAUAUUGACACAAAAAUUGACACACACAUGUAUCUCAAUAAGAUCUACAAAAAAGUCAGUGCGGGCGUAUCUGUCAAAUGUACGGUGAAAGGGCUAUUUCGCAUUUUUUGCCGAUCCGCACACAUUGGAAUUUCGUUAACUCCUCCGAAG